GAAAAGCGGUGGAGGCCGAAGUAGAGGGGCUCGUUCUUCCCACCCCGAGUGCCGGCUAGGGUUGCCACCGCCGCCGCUGCCGCCGCCCCAAUCCUGCUCCGCCCGCCUCGUCUCGCCUCAGAGAGGAGGAAGACUUGCUCUUCCAUGGCUCGCAGAGGAGCCGUCGCCCCCGCCGCCACGACGGAGAUGGAGUACCUGGACUGGAAGAAGUGCGCGCCCGUGCUCUACGACCUCGUCAUGUCCCAGCCACUCGAGUUGCCCUCGCUCACCUUCCAGUGGCUCCUCUCAGAGUCGCCAGCCUCCACCCGCUCCCACAACCUCGUCCUCGGCACCCACACCUCCGAUGACUCCCCCAACCACCUCAUGCUCGUCGACCCGUGCUCUAACUCCUGCCGCGCCUGACCGUGGCGGCUGCCGCCGAGGGCCGCGCCGCCCCGUCCGUGUCCAUCGGUCACUCAGCUCCGCAUAAGGGCGAGGUCAAUAGUGCCGGGUGCAUGUCUACCGCCUUGGGGAGGACGGCGAUCUCAAGGCCGGGAAUCGAGCCCCAGUUCUAGAUGCGCAACAGGUGUUUGAGGUAAUGUCCCAACAGAUGCUCCUGUGCUUUGAAUACUAUAUACUGUGAUGUUAUUAGCUACGUUUGAAUGAGAAUUAAUUAAUACUUCCGCCUUCAUAAGACAUCCGGGACCGCACCAUGAAAGAGCGGGAGAUGCCGAGCUACAUCAGGAUGCCGUUCCCUCUGACGCCUCUUGCGUCUCUCUUUUCUGCCCUUGCUUCGAUUCGAUUCGAUUUGGAUGUUGCGUUGUUGUUACUCAUGAAGGUCCGAUUUGCUUUACUUCCUGAUACGGUCACGCAGGUUGCUGUUAAGGCCUCGAGCUGGCUGCGACCAAGCACGGCCUCUAGCUCGCCCUGCACCACGAUUGCAGUCGCGCGGCUGAUGACCACGGGCUGCUCGACGCACGGACGACAAGCACGGCAUCCGCGAUCAAGGAGAACCUGAGAUGCAACAUCAACGUGGUGGUCAUAUAUCAGAAAGGCAAGUUCUUAUGAAUGAAAGGUCAAGAUCUCCGGCGGCAGGCCAACGGACACCAUCUCGAGCCAUCGGUACGUGUACGCCGCAUACUGUCUUGCCUUUUGAUUGCAUAAUCUGCACUGUAAUUGUGGCCUAGCCGUCGUGUAAUGCCUGUAUGCUAGGAACACAUGUUGUACCUGUCUGUUUUGUGUCAGUGAUUUGGUUUUCUGUUGAUUGUCUGAAUGAAAUGGUGGCAAUUAAUGUGUGUACCAUUUUAACCAGCAACCAUGAAAAUGAUUGAGUUGCUUACUACAUGUCAUGUUAUAUGCACUGGUUUUCAGAUCAUGGUGUGGAGCUUGAGGUAGCUUAAUUUACACCCAUUUAUUUGAUGUUUUGACCAGUCAUGAGUAAGGGCAACUUGUCGUGUUUCAAGUUUAUGACAGAAAUAAUUUGUAUAUU